GUGGGUGCUGUGUAUGUCUGUGGGUGCUGUAUGUGUGUGGGUACUGUGUGUGUGUUGGUGCUGUGUAUGUGUGUGGGUGCUGUAUGUGUGUAGGUGCUGUGCAUGUCUGUGGGUGCUGUAUGUGUAUAGGUGCUGUGUAUGUCUGUGGGUGCUGUAUGUGUGUUGGUGCUGUGUAUGUGCUGUGUAUGUGUGUGGGUGCUGUAUGUGUGUGGGUGCUGUAUGCGUGUUGGUGCUGUGUAUGUGUGUGGGUACUGUAUGUGUGUAGGUGCUGUGUAUGUCUGUGGGUGCUGUAUGUGUUUAGGUGCUGUGUAUGUCUGUGUGUGUGGGUACUGUAUGUGUGUAGGUGCUGUGUAUGUCUGUGGGUGCUGUAUGUGUUUAGGUGCUGUGUAUGUCUGUGGGUGCUCUAUGUGUGUUGGUGCUGUGUAUGUGUGUGGGUGCUGUAUGUGUUUAGGUGCUGUGUAUGUCUGUGGGUGCUGUAUGUGUGUUGGUGCUGUGUAUGUGUGUGGGUGCGAGG